rnacentral:lncRNA from 1 species
AGACAUUGGUAGUAAAAGAAUAUACAAAUAUCCAUAUUGUUAAAAAAAAAAAAAACUAAAAAAUAAUAAUUUUUACGAAUAAAGAAAAAUUUCACAAAUAUUUACAAAAAGAUUUGGAUUAGUAAACAAUCAUUAAUCAUAAUAUAAUUGUAGAACCCUCUUAGGACCAAGAGUUUUUUUUUUUUCUCACCACCCCGAGAGAGCUGGC